GAACGAACGCUGGCGGCAUGCCUAACACAUGCAAGUCGAACGAGAUCCUUCGGGGUCUAGUGGCGCACGGGUGCGUAACGCGUGGGAAUCUGCCCUUAGGUUCGGAAUAACAGUUAGAAAUGACUGCUAAUACCGGAUGAUGACGUUAAGUCCAAAGAUUUAUCGCCUGAGGAUGAGCCCGCGUAGGAUUAGCUAGUUGGUGUGGUAAAGGCGCACCAAGGCGACGAUCCUUAGCUGGUCUGAGAGGAUGAUCAGCCACACUGGGACUGAGACACGGCCCAGACUCCUACGGGAGGCAGCAGUGGGGAAUAUUGGACAAUGGGCGCAAGCCUGAUCCAGCAAUGCCGCGUGAGUGAUGAAGGCCUUAGGGUUGUAAAGCUCUUUUACCCGAGAUGAUAAUGACAGUAUCGGGAGAAUAAGCCCCGGCUAACUCCGUG
rnacentral:rRNA from 1 species